UACGUAGGGGGCAAGCGUUGUCCGGAUUUAUUGGGCGUAAAGAGCGUGUAGGCGGCCAGGUAGGUCCGUUGUGAAAACUGGAGGCUUAACCUCCAGCUGUCGAUGGAAACCAUCUGGCUAGAGUCCGGAAGGGGCGAGUGGAAUUCCUGGUGUAGCGGUGAAAUGCGUAGAUAUCAAGAGGAACACCUGAGGUGAAGACGGGUUGCUGGGCCGACACUGACGCUGAGUGCGCGAAAGCCAGGGGAGCAAACGGG
rnacentral:rRNA from 1 species